GGGGGUAUAGCUCAGCUGGGAGAGCGCUUGCAUGGCAUGCAAGAGGUCAGCGUUUCGAUCCCGCUUACCUCCACCA
rnacentral:tRNA from 1 species